UUUUUUUUUAAAUUCCUUCUCUCCCCUUCUUCCCAAGGUAAAUCACAUGGUCACUGCUUGUUUGAAAGUAAAUUCUCUCUUGUUGUCUUGAAAGGAGCUGGAGGCUGGGAGGCGAUGAACACAGCAAGGUUAGCUCUCUGGAAAACUUGACUGUUUUGGAAAAGAUGCCCUCCCUUGAGGCAUCGCCUGGAGCCGGUGUUUCCUGCUGCAGCCUCAGCAAGGCAGAGCCGCCCUCGCUGCGCCAGAGCCCUGCGGCGCAGCCCCGCGCAGUGCCCUCCUGCCCCGCUCUGCUCCCCAGAACCGGCUGCAGGCUCAGCAUCGAAAGGGCUCCAGUGGUUCAAGGAAUGAAACAUCGCAUCUACCCCAGCUACUUUCAGCUCUGAACAGCAAAGCAGAGACAUUUGGUUUUCAAACCAGAAGUCCUUGUUUUAGCUUUUGCCAUUGUUUUGUCUCACACCCCAGGCACAGGCCUUGGACUCCUUUCUUGCUGCAUCACAGUGCCCUGAGGACCCUGCCUGCUCCCCCCCGGGGUUUCUCCCUAGGUUUCUCUGUUGCUUUCCAUUGCACAUCAUGAAGAAGAGGGAGAAAUGUCUCACAAGUUUGAGCAGCCUCAGAGCAGCAGCUUUUUUUUCUAACAGCUCUCAUGACCUGUCCUGGCUGGAAGAAGAUAUCACGAAACCAAGAGGUGCAGGGGCUCACUCGUGACGGCUGAUCUCAUCCUCUUUGAGCGAAGGUGAUUUUGCCCAAAAGAUCGUGCUGUCAGAAGAGACUGGACUGAGUGAGAAAGGUGAAAAGCAAGCAAAAGACCAUUUAAAAAUAAGCAGUGCCAAUGACUUGUGGAAAUUUUCCUUAUCUGGUGAUUUAAUAUUCCCAAGUGGGAUGAAAUCCUGAAGAGUUUACAGAUCCAAACACAGCUACUCUCCUAACAGGCAGUUCAGCUGCGCUGGUCAGACGUGAAACACUUUUUUUAAAAAACACACUUUUCCAUUCCCAGGUAGAUUUCCAAAGUUACCAAUAGGAAUUGAACCAGAUUACUUAUGCUAACAGCAUGAGUCUUAUGACUAGCACCUGGUGCAGAGCAUUGGAAAAUUUUAACUGGGAAGUUCAGACCUUUCCUUAUUUUAGCUCUCAGAUAACAAAAUGAACUUUUUUUUUUUUUAAGUGGUUUGAUGUUUUGAUUCUUUGUUUUUUAGAUUUGCUAGACUAGUGACCAAAUAAGGAUCUGAAUUUUUAUAGCAUAGCUCUGAUUUCUUCGGCCAUCAUCAUCACUUGUCCUACAUUAGAUCUAAUCAGAAAAUGGAUCUUCACCUCAAUUGAAAUUCCAAUGAUUUGAUAUUUCUUUCAGACACCAGAAAUAACUAAAAAUGAAAAUGCUAUAUAACCUCAUGAAAAUAAAAAGUUUUAAAAUAUUUUGACUCA
ensembl:lncRNA